CCAAAAUCAAAAAAUCAGAUAAGCCACCUUUUCUGAACAGACUGCAGAAAAGAGAGGUGCCCGAUGAGCUCCCAGUCAUGUGGUUCAGGGCGGGCUCUGGAAGACUCACAGAGGAGACUCCUCUGAGAAACCAAGAAGGUUUCUCUCCAAGUCGGGAUCUGCUCUGCUCAGGAUGCUCCUCCAACACACACAGUGAAAAACUGAGCACCUAGAGAGCAACACCAAAAACCCAUGGCCAAUAAUGGAGAAACAAAUCAGGUGACAAGUUACCCCCAGACCCUAAAAUGCACGCGGUGGUGAUAGGGCACCAA
rnacentral:lncRNA from 1 species